AUGUUCAAUGUAUAUCUCCUUGCAUUGCAUGAUCAUGGGUUUGGAUUGGGAGGCAGCGGGAAGUCCGGGCGUGCAUACUUGUUGGGUCAUGCUUGUGAGACAAGAUGGCUAUGUGCCUUUAUUGACGAUCUGCUUCGACGGAAUGAUAUCUCAAGUAUGCUCGAUCUUUUCUCCUGUUCACUAUCUACGCCAAGAUGUUGGUUGGUCCUGGCCAAAUACGAGUUCCAACACAAAGAAGAAGCUGCAGUGAGGCAUGCAAUAGACGCGAGCACUGAGCUCACAACACAUAGGCAUCAACUGCCGGGUGUACAUCUGUCCGAACUGCAGUACAACAGUCUAGGUUGUGAGUUCGAGUUCCACUAG
rnacentral:rRNA from 1 species